rnacentral:tRNA from 2 species
UGCGGGAUGGAGCAGUCUGGUAGCUCGUCGGGCUCAUAACCCGAAGGUCGUUGGUUCGAAUCCAGCUCCCGCUA